rnacentral:lncRNA from 1 species
ACAAGAUGAAAAAAGCUACAAGGCCACAAAGUGCUAUCAAGCCACUGUAACAAAAAGGUCUAUAAAUUGGCAGAGCUGACCAGAGCUGACCAACAUAAAUGCUUCCUGAUGUUGUGGGGCAGCUUCUUUAAAUGGUCCAGGAAAAGCUUAGACUUUGAAAGCAGUGCACUGAGAAUGCUUAAAAGGGGACUCUUCAGAUGCCAACAGCAUUUAAAGUGAGGAAAGCUCAGGUCUAAAUGCCUAAUUGUUCAUAGCUUUUCUAUGUGCACCAGUGCCAGAUUUUGUAUGUGCAGUAGGCAUGGCUUUUUAACCCGAUUUAGGUUACCAUCUGCCAGGAUCAUGUUCUCUGUCAAUUGCCUUUUGCUAGCUCUUCUGUGCUGCUCCUCACAAUCCUUCUUUCUGUACAGCUGCAGACCAGUAAUCGGUGGGAAUCCCCUGCUACCAAAGUUUGGCUACCCUUCUGAACGGCUGCUGAGGUUGUCUGAACCUAAAAAAUAUCUUCCUGCUUUCCUGGAGCAAAGGUUUCCAGGUCAUCUCAGAAGGUAGUUGCAAGCCCUCGGACCAUUGAACUGUCGAAGCCCAGACAAGUCCACGCUAAGUUCAUGCCUGCACGGGAUCCUGAGUGGCCUGUGACAGCGGCUGCCAAGCGUGCAAUGGCUACAGAAAGGAUUGUGGCCCUGGCCCAGCCUACUGCAAGGUAGGUACUGCUUCCCUGUCGUGGGGAAACAAUCAGCUGCCGGCCCAUUCUGUGUGGCUCAUGGCACCUUGUUCAUUU